rnacentral:rRNA from 1 species
UACGUAGGCAGCGAGCGUUGUUCGGAGUUACUGGGCGUAAAGGGUGUGUAGGCGGUUGUUUAAGUUUGGUGUGAAAUCUCCCGGCUCAACUGGGAGGGUGCGCCGAAUACUGAAUAACUAGAGUGCGGGAGAGGAAAGUGGAAUUCCUGGUGUAGCGGUGAAAUGCGUAGAUAUCGUAAGGAAGACCAGUGGCGAAGGCGAAUCUCUGGACAGUUACUGACACUGAGGCACGAAGGCCAGGGGAGCAAACGGG